rnacentral:rRNA from 1 species
CGCUAGCGGUGCGCCUAACACAUGCAAGUCGAGCGGUAGAAUUAUUAUUGAAUCUUCGGAUGAUUUAAUAAUUUGAGAGCGGCGAACGGGUGAGUAACACGUUGGUAUCUGCCCCCAAGUCAGGGAUAGCCAUUGGAAACGAUGAUUAAUACCGGAUAGUCUCUUCGGAGUAAAGAUUUAUUGCUUGGGGAGGAACCUGCGUUCUAUCAGCUAGUUGGUGAGGUAAAAGCUCACCAAGGCUAUGACGGAUACCUGGUCUGAGAGGAUGAUCAGGCACAAUGGAACUGAGACACGGUCCAUACUCCUACGGGAGGCAGCAGUGAGGAAUCUUCCACAAUGGGCGAAAGCCUGAUGGAGCGACACCGCGUGAAGGAUGAAGGCCUAACGGUUGUAAACUUCUUUUCUGAAGGAGCAUAAUGAGAGUACUUCAGGAAUAAGGGACGGCUAUAUACGUGCCAGCAGCCGCGGUAAUACGUAUGUCUCGAGCGU